rnacentral:tRNA from 1 species
UAGCUCAGACAGUAAAGCAUCUGCCUGCAAUGCGGGAGACCUGGGUUCAAUCCCCAG